AAAGGGAUUUGGAGCCUUCAGAGGUGGAAGGAUGGUGCAGUCCAAGGGCAGAGGACAGAUGUCCCUGGAAGGGAAGGAAGUGCUGAGAAGGGCACAGCUGCAGUGGUGAGCUCAGCGGGCCACCUCUCAGGCCCAGGACCUUUUAGAGGAGCAGUUACAUGAAAGAGGAACAUUUUCUGAUCAGCCCUCCUGCUGAAGACCACUGCACAUCUGAGCUUUUCCCUUCCAGUAGGUAAUACGAAGACGUAUCUUAGGAGCUUUGGCUUCAUCUCCCUCAGGCUUGGUAUUGCUCCAGUAGAGGCAAAGACUUUGUGGCUCAGCAACCACAGUGUUUAAUCUGCUUUUUUGUGCUUUUCUGUGCUGCGUGGAGACAUAAUCACAGUGGUCAGUCCUUGCUUUCAACUUCCUCCUUGCUGCCUCGUCAUGUUUACAUGGUGUGUAGUGUUUUGCAAGCUUCAGAUAAACAGAAAUAAAAAUCAGUGUAGGUUUGCUUU